rnacentral:lncRNA from 1 species
ACGAUUCUUAUCUAAGAUGGGGCCAGCAGGAUUUGGAAGGGAUAAAUGGCUUCCGACAGCUGCAUGGCGGACUUUUGAGGGUUUUAUAUUUAUGUAUUUGACGGAUGCUGUGCACUUUCACUGUACUGCUUUCAUCAUGUAUGGCUUGGUAUUGUUGUCGGCACUGCUUGCAUGGCUUGGCAGGGUCGCGUAUGGCCUAUCGGGUGGUUGGAUGUGGAACAAAGGUUGUAAUGAUGAUGCGCUCAUUCUCCUGGAUGGGCGCAGCGAUGUGGUUUCGAAGUGGGUGACCAUCGCUUUUGUUUAGGCCGGCGGGACUGCCGGCGGUGACAGAGAUUCGCAACGGUUCAACGGUUCAAAACUGCGACGUUUUAGCUAUUAUGUCAAUAGCGAGAGGAAGUAAAGGGUGGUCAAUGUGUGCAGGUAUCCAUGUCGUCGAUGUUUCCUGACGAACCUGCGUCUUGAGCGGUAGGCGUCGGCAGGCAGGCGUAUUACGGGUCGUGUAUGGAUGGAAAGAGGAGAGGAGGGAGACGCCGCGUGGGUUUCAGGAAUAUAACGUCUAUUUGCGAAAAGCCCCGAAAGAUUGCUGCAUCCGUCGAUACCUGCUUUUGAUGAUACGUGUGGCCGGCUAUUUGUGGCCUAUGCCUCACUUUUCUCUGUGAUGGAUCGGUGUGCCUGUCGGCUGCGCUUCAAGUCCGCGGCAGCGUCGCCGUGUGCCCCGCAUCUGAUCGCCGAAAAGGCCUCUCGAGGUGCUGUGAUUGAGAUGCUCUAGCGAGCACAGUGAUUUUAUGGUGUGCACUGGGAUCUCAUGCUAGCGCGUAAAAACGUUUUAUGAUGUGUGUUGUACGGCAGCAACUACACCCUGUGUUGCUUGCGUUGCGUGCAAGCGCUUACCUGCCUCGUUCCUAAGCCUACGUACCCUGCGUCGUUUUGUUUUAUAUGUAUUACAUCUAAAGCGCUUACUCCAAGCGUAUGUGAGUCGUUUUCCGUACGAAAGAAUAUGGUGAGACGGUAGGCGCAUAUGUACAUAGCAUGCUUGUCCAACAUUUUAGUGCGUUCAAUCGAAGGGUUUUAGGAUUCGAAUGCCAAUGUACGAAUGCCGUGAGUUACGGCACUUGACGACUGUCGGCGGAUUGUACUGCCUAGAGCGCGACUGGUGAGCACGUUUUCUUCUCUCAUUAACAUUGAUCAAGUUAUGCAUCCUUGUACCAAGAAUUGUGCGACUGUGCCAGCCCUUUGAACACAACUACCCAUCUAGCUACCCAGCUACCUUCCUACCUGACGUGAGAUGUGUUUUAGGACUCGCGCUUGCAUUCCUGCCCCGUGCGUGCAUUCCACCGAGCUCCAGCUCGCGCGCAUAGUUUUGCAGCCGUACUUACAGUCGCACUAGCUACCGUACUUGGUGUCGUAUUAGCUACCGACCUGGCGGGAGCCUGGCUUAUCUUGCUUUCCUCUUAGUGCGUGUCUCUCGUUGUCGCUCGUUCGCCGUCUGGCAUGUGCCGCCUCUAGCGCCGGCGUGAUCUCCAUCUCCCACUGCUGUACAUAUGAGUUUGAAAACGUGCUUUAUCUGUUUGUUGGACCCAAGCUGUUGGGCUGGCUGCGCGGUUUUGGCUUGAUGUCGGUUUCUUCAAAAACGUACUUGCUUGCGUACGUUGAACCCUUACUCUGUUUUGCCUGUAAUGGUAUUAUCGUCACCCGAACGCGGCAAAACAGAAGGUAUUUACAUCGGGCCAAGUAAUUAGCCUUAUAGGUUCAAUUCCGUUCAUGAUUCGGGGGACCGACAGAGAGGAGAGCCCUAGACAGUACCCACCCCACAGCAAAGGACCGAAACUUUUAAAAAGCUUUGGCGCCUUUGGUCUUGCGAACGUCAUUUUCGAGAUAUUUCGCUUGCGCUGCGGGCGAACAGCAGCAUCUCAAGGCGUCUUCGUGUAUCCUCGGCAUGUAUUCGUAAUGCCGUGCUGAGACGUGUUAGGUACUUACUGUCUUGGGCAUAGCUGUGCGCAUUUCUAUUUUGCUUCUCAGUCUUUCAUUGUGCAAAUGAAGCGGUUCAUGAGCCUCCGUCUGGACCGUACGAGCUCGCUGAUGAUGCUUGUAACAUCCG